UCCCUACUGGCUCAGAGGAUAAAGCGUCUGCCUGCAAAGCAGGAGACCCGGGUUUGAUCCCUGGAUUGGGAA
rnacentral:tRNA from 1 species